rnacentral:rRNA from 1 species
AGAGUUUGAUCAUGGCUCAGAACGAACGCUGGCGGCAGGCUUAACACAUGCAAGUCGAACGGUUGUAGCAAUACAGCAGUGGCAGACGGGUGAGUAACACGUGGGAACAUGCCCAAAGGUACGGAAUAUUCCCGGGAAACUGGGAGCAAUACCGUAUGUGCCCGAAAGGGGAAAGAUUUAUCGCCUUUGGAUUGGCCCGCGUUGGAUUAGCUAGUUGGUGGGGUAAAAACCUACCAAGGCGACGAUCCAUAGCUGGUCUGAGAGGACGACCAGCCACACUGGGACUGAGACACGGCCCAGACUCCUACGGGAGGCAGCAGUGGGGAAUCUUGGACAAUGGGCGCAAGCCUGAUCCAGCCAUGCCGCGUGAGUGAUGAAGGCCCUAGGGUUGUAAAACUCUUUCGUGGGGGACGAUAAUGACGGUACCCCAAGAAGAGUC